rnacentral:lncRNA from 1 species
UACCAUCUACUUUCUUUAGGCCCCUAGACCCUAGCUAUAAUUGUUCAUUGAUUAUUCACCUCUAGUCCAUUUAUAUUCUCAUCAACUUCACAUACUUUAUCUUAGGCAAUCUCCCAUUUUCUUUUCACACAAAGAAAGCAAUUUAGGGAAAAACACAGAAAGAAGAAGAAGAAAGAAAAUGAAUGCUCCUCCAAAAUAUCAAAAUAUGUCAUACUAUGAACAUGUCCAAAGGCGCCAUGAAGAAAAGGGAUGCCUAUAUGCUUGGUUUGUAUCACAAAAUCUAAUCUUUUUUUUUCUUUAUUGACAUUAUUCUUUUAGUUUUACUUCUUUAGUAAAAAAAAAUAGUAGAGGCGGAAUCAGAAUAAGUGUACAUGUCUCAAGCUUUAAUGCGUUCAAUUUUUAAAGUUCAUAGUAUUAAACUCACUGUACAUCUGAAAUUAUGGGUUCAAAAUUUAAUAUAUAUUGAAAAUUUAGUGAUUUUUCACGUAUAUAUUUAUUUUCCGUGUCACUUCACAUGUACUCAACACUUUGCCUAUGUGCAAAAAGCAUAGCCAAACUCAAACCGGAUAAAGAAAAAAGGUUGCGGCAAGUAUAAAUAUAGUGUAACUAUGGUGAAUUAUUUGGAAUAUUGAAUUUAACUCGAACUAAUUUGGAAUUAAUUCAUAGUUGAGUGAUAUAUAAAUAUUCAUGUUCUAAUCUUUUAUUUUAUUUUUUUGAAUUUAAAAAUCUUAAAAUUGCAGUAUGUUCACGCUAUGUUGCUGCUUCUGCUGCUACGAAACUUGCGAGUGCUGCUUAAGUUCUGUCUGCUGUUGCUGCCCUUGAAGCAAACAAUUAUCAGUAAUGCAAUGUAUUUCUAUGUUACGCUGACUCUCCAAAAUGUUGCCGCAUCCGUAUUGGAUUCUUCAACCGGCAUGCACUUGACGACAUUUUCGGAGAAUCCAAGCAAUAUAGGUGUAUUUUACAAGAUUGUUAUUAGUAGUUGAUGUUUCAAUAAAACGGGAUGUUAGUAUAUUACAUAUCACUAUUGUAUCUACUAUGUUUUAUAUCCUUGUAAUUUAAAUUAUUAUUAGUUAAUGAUAAAAGUUAAACCUCUAUCAUUACGUAUCUAAGUUAUAUAUACUGACAGAGCGACAAUGUAAAUAUUUUUUAUAAUAGCAAUGCAGUUUAAUAUAUGCUCACUUCGCCGUCUCAAGCCAAUAUAAAGGAAGAGGAUAGCGAUAGGCUGACUGCCAACUAAAUAAUGUUGAAAGCGGUGUAGUUUAACUUGUUAUCACAGGUUAGUUAUAUUAUAAUUAAGGAUUGAGAAGAAGGUGGUUGGCUUGACGAAAAGGGUAAUGAUAG